AACCCAUGAACAGACUAAAAGAAUAACCUAGGACGGAGGCCAAGUUCCACAGUGCGCAAGCGAGCGAACGAAUUCUGAUCCAACGUCAUCAAUAUCAAACUCAACAAACUCAAACACAUCUAUAGUGUUACGAGUAGGAAAAGUGGCUUGCCAAUAUUCCUAGAACUCCACCCUCAUAAAGAUACCGUUGUAAUAAAACAACAAUGGAGCAACAUCGCAAACCUCCUGCGCAGGCACUCCAUUAGAGACCUACGUAGGGAAUAGUGCCACACCAUACUUGAAAUUACAAAGCCAGCGACAACGUAGGCAACAACAAUAAACAAAAGCAUAAACAGAGUACCAAGUUAAUCUAUAAAUAACUAAGUCUUUUUACACUCAUCAAAACGACGAGAAUCCUACUCUAAAAAUCCUCACACCAGAGGAGAGGAUUGCUUGUCCGAUAGGCCGACUUCCUUCGUUGUCUCAGCUUUGGCUGCUCCCUCAUCCUCCUUUGUUCCUACUUCUCCAGCCAGAGGAACAUCAGAGGCAGGAACACUUGACUGGCCCAUUUCACCAGCCUUCGCCUUCCGCUUCUCAGCCUCCUACAAACCAAAUCAAACACGAUUACAAAAAGAACCAAAAAGAAAGAGAAAAAACAAAGAAAGACCACAUAAACAACCAACCUCGAGCCACCGGGACUCAGCCAUACUCCUCGCCUCGGCUUGUCCGAACUUCACCCAGAAAGAGCAGAUAAAGUUGCAGAUGGACCUCUGCACUUCUGAAGAACCUUCACCAAGAUCGGGGAUAGUCCAUCUGCACCGCCUUAGCGUGAGCACAACCAUCACGCCUAAGCAGGCGGGCGAAGAACGACACCCCUGCCAAAGCUCCAAAAUCAACAGCUCCAUCAACAAAGUCAGGCAGUUUGCCAAUAUGGGACUUCAGCCACGCCAAAGCAGCGACAACACCCCUGCUCUGUGGAAGAGCAGAGGUGCUACUGCCAAAUUGACUAACGAUAUCAUGAUAGAGCCUAAGCACAGCCAGAGCUUGAGCCUCUGCCUCCUCUAGCUGAGCCUGCACGAAGGCUGCAAACUCAUGCUUUGCUUCCAACUCUUGGCGAAGGCGCUCUGAAACCUCAGCGGCCUUCAGAGCCCGCUAGACAGCCAACUCCUCAGCCAUCUUCAAGCCAUCUGCAUCCUUUCAUAGCUUCUCCACAGCCACCUCCAACUCACUUUUCUCUCUCUUCAGGGUCACAACCUCCCCACGAACCAUAGGAAGAGACUUCAACUCUUUAGAAAGAUGAAGCUUCUCAGCCUCAAGGGUGAAAGCCCUAGUUUGGUUUUGGAUAAUUGAUGAAACCCUAGUACUAACCCCUAUACUAAGUAUGUGUAGACUUAAUGAGGUUGGUACAUGCCAAGUGAUGGAGCAAGUGAUGAUCAUGGUGAAGAUGGUGAUGACCACAAG
rnacentral:lncRNA from 1 species